rnacentral:rRNA from 1 species
CAAUACCAUGAGUAAAGUGGCGCACGGGUGAGUAACACGUGACUAACCUACCCCUGGAGUGGGGGGAUAACUGAGGGAAACCUUAGCUAAUACCGCAUAACACCUACGGGUCAAAGGAGCAAUUCGCUUCAGGAGGGGGUCGCGGCCGAUUAGUUAGUUGGCGGGGUAAUGGCCCACCAAGACAGUGAUCGGUAUCCGGCCUGAGAGGGCGCACGGACACACUGGAACUGAAACACGGUCCAG